rnacentral:misc_RNA from 2 species
AACGCACAUUGCGCCCCUUGGUAUUCCAUGGGGCAUGCUUGUUCGAGCGUCAUUUGUACCCUCAAGCUAUGCUUGGUGUUGGGUGUUUGUCCUUUCCGCGUGUUAGGACUCGCCUUAAAUUCAUUGGCAGCCGACGUAUUGGUUUGGAGCGCAGCACAAUUUGCGAGCCAGGCGAGUAUACCAGCGUCCAUUAAGCACAAUUAACACUUUUGACCUCGGAUCAAGUAGGGAUACCCGCUGAACUUAA